AUGAUCACUUGUGUCACACCUAAGCCAUGGAGGUGGCCCAGCCUUGAUCCCUUCAGGUCUCUGAGGUCACCCAGGGAGCAUUACAAAGGAAUAAAAAGCCCUUAUGUGCGAAGACAGUCAGAGAUUCUGAAACACUGGGAGUUUGCUAAACCCAGAGCAGAGAACGUGAACUGGGAUCAGAAGACUGUACUUCACACAAGUGAACAAACAAACCAACCUUCCAAAGAGUUCAUUAACUCAAGGAACAGCUAAGAAAGCCACGGAAUAAGAAGAGGAAGUAAUCCUGGACAAGAUACAAGGGUGUGAAGAGAACUUCAAAGAACCCUGUGAGCACCAUGCACUGUCACAAGGCAGGUAAUUUGGACAAAGGACAGCUGGCUUUGCCUUGAACGGUAGAAAAUGGGCUCAGCAUUUGAGCAAACACAUCUUCUAUAUCACAAAGCCCUCAGAAGGAAAAUUCUUUACAAAACUAUAGAAAUACACCUUUUCUUGGCUUGAAGGAGUCCAGAGCCUUUCUGUGAAUUUCAGAGGUGCCUUCACCAGGGCUGCUGUUUUCACACAACUGUUCCAUUACCUAAGCUAAAUGACAUUUAAAAUGCCUUGGCCACGGAGUCGGCAGCACGUACAAGGAUGUUCAAGCAUGUUUUUGGUUUAUUAGUUCUGUUACAGACACUCAAGCAGAUGAAUGUAAGAAGAGAAACUGGCUUUAUAGUAAAGAGAAAGAGACCUACAGCAGUGACAAAUUAAUUUCCAUCCUGUCAUGACUCAUGAGACAGUGCUACAGUAACAUUAACAAAACGUCAGUUAAAGCGGUAGUAAUUAUUUCCAUUGCUAAUACUGACUCUGGCUUAACAACAUUUACAGGCUUUGUUACACUGUCAUAAAAUAAACACCAAUAUAGAAACA
rnacentral:lncRNA from 1 species